rnacentral:lncRNA from 1 species
CCGCUCUGCUCCACUUCCUGUGGUGGAUUCCGCACAGCUCCACUACCCCCUGGCAGGCCACAAUAACGGCCACGAACCUGCUCCACCUCCUGCGAUGGAUAUCGGGCGAUUCUCCCACCCGCUGGCAAGUCACGACAACGGACGUUGCUCCACUCCUCGCAACUGAUUCCACGUGGCGAGCUACGGUGAUAGCCACGAUUCAGCUCCAUUACCCCUCGCAAUAAAUUCCCUCUGAUUAUGGGCGGCCCACGACCAGACGGUUACAGACGUCGCCAUCAAUCCGUUACCUCCUCCGCCUAUAAAAAGGGGGGAUCCAGAUACGUUAUUCUCUAAGCUCAUUUCUUAUCUCAAAACUUUGCUAAAUUCUCCGUUCGAGCACUCCAUUCUUGUUGAGGUAGAGAACUGACUUGAGCGUCGGAGGGUCUUGCCGGAGCAACCCCACCUCCGGUCUAGACUUCCUUUGCAGGUC